CGUGUUCGUGUGUUGAUUAUUACUUUUCUGUGUGAUUUUGCUCAGUUUUCUUCGCUUGCUAGAUAUUAUAGUAAUAAAUAAAAUGGACAAGAACAUUCCAUUCAUAUUAAAACACUUCUUCAAAGACAUUAUAAAUGAACCUGGAAGUGAUGUAAAUGUAUCUGGAACUUGCAAAAAGUGUUCGAAAACACUGAAAGGAAGUUUGAAUUCUACAUCCAACUUUUUGAACCAUUUAAAAAGAAAAGGACAUGCUGAUGUAUUAGCAGAGUAUGAAAAACUCAAA